UGCUCGAGUGGCGAACGGGUGAGUAACACGUGAGUAACCUGCCCUUGACUUUGGGAUAACUUCAGGAAACUGGGGCUAAUACCGGAUAGGAGCUCCUGCUGCAUGGUGGGGUUGGAAAGUUUCGGCGGUUGGGGAUGGACUCGCGGCUUAUCAGCUUGUUGGUGGGGUAGUGGCUUACCAAGGCUUUGACGGGUAGCCGGCCUGAGAGGGUGACCGGCCACAUUGGGACUGAGAUACGGCCCAG
rnacentral:rRNA from 1 species